UACGUAGGGACCGAGCGUUGUCCGGAAUCAUUGGGCGUAAAGAGCGUGUAGGCGGCCACUUAAGUCCUGCGUGAAAUCUUGCGGCUCAACCGCAAGCGGUCGUGGGAAACUGGGUGGCUAGAGUGCGGGAGAGGAGAGUGGAAUUCCUGGUGUAGCGGUGGAAUGCGCAGAGUAUCAGGAAGAACACCCGUGGCGAAGGCGGCUCUCUGGAACGCAACUGACGCUGAGACGCGAAAGCGUGGGGAGCAAACAGG
rnacentral:rRNA from 1 species